rnacentral:rRNA from 1 species
AGCGCGUACCAUACGGAUCGGCAGACGGGAGAGUAACCGUGGGAACGUACCCUUUGGUUCGGAACAACCCAGUGGAAACUUGGGCUAAUACCGGAUAAGCCCUUACGGGGAAAGAUCAUCGCCGAAGGAUCGGCCCGCGUCUGAUUAGCUAGUUGGUGGGGUAAUGGCCCACCAAGGCGACGAUCAGUAGCUGGUCUGAGAGGAUGAUCAGCCUCACUGGGACUGAGACACGGCCCAGACUCCUACGGGAGGCAGCAGUGGGGAAUAUUGGACAAUGGGCGCAAGCCUGAUCCAGCCAUGCCGCGUGGGUGAUGAAGGCCCUAGGGUUGUAAAGCCCUUUCGGCGGGGAAGAUAAUGACGGUACCCGCAGAAGAAGCCCCGGCUAACUUCGUGCCAGCAGCCGCGGUAAU